rnacentral:rRNA from 1 species
AUUGAACGCUGGCGGCAGGCCUAACACAUGCAAGUCGAACGAGUGGCGGACGGGUGAGUAAUGUCUGGGAAACUGCCUGAUGGAGGGGGAUAACUACUGGAGACGGUAGCUAAUACCGCAUACCAUCGGAUUUGCCCAGAUGGGAUUAGCUAGUAGGUGGGGUAAAGGCUCACCUACGCGACUACCCCUAGCUGGUCUGAGAGGAUGACCAGCCACGCGUGAACUGAGCCGCGGUCCAGGCUCCUGCGGUAGGCAGCAGUGGGGAAUAUUGCAGAAUGGGCGCAAGCCUGAUGCAGCCAUGCCGCGUGUAUGAAGAAGGCCUUCGGGUUGUAAAGUACUUUCAGCGGGGAGGCGUUACCCGCAGAAGAAGCACCGGCUAACUCCGUGCCAGCAGCCGCGGUAAUAC